UUAAAUUGAAGAGUUUGAUCAUGGCUCAGAUUGAACGCUGGCGGCAGGCCUAACACAUGCAAGUCGAACGGUAACAGGAAGCAGCUUGCUGCUUCGCUGACGAGUGGCGGACGGGUGAGUAAUGUCUGGGAAACUGCCUGAUGGAGGGGGAUAAC
rnacentral:rRNA from 7 species